AGAAAAAACGGCAUCUCUCCGUGUUUUCAAUUUGGUGUUCUCCGUGUUGUCCCUGUGAUAUUUCCUCCGACACGUCUGCAACCUCCAACACGUCUACUACGAGUCUCUCUACCAGCAUGAUACCAAGGUGCUUAUAGCAUUGGAGUGCUUCACUACAAAUUCUUCCUAGACCAUUUGUACAACUUCCAAGGGAAGUAGGCCUGACCCAAAUAUUAACUACACUGUUGGGUUAGGUUCGACUCAAUUGUUUGAAGGUGGGCUGACAAGGAGAGAAGGUGUUGUAUUUGCUUGUUGAGUCUAUCUCCUGCUAGUUUGUGCUUUAUUCUUUGCUUGUAGCAACCCAAAAAGUCUCUUGUAGUGAUCUGAAAUGUACCAAUACUUGAAUCCUUAUUGUUUUUACAUUUUUGUUUUAGCUACUAGAUUACAUCAAUGGUUGUUGAUGCCUUUUCAUUGGAUGAAAUAAAUGAUGUCGAUGAACAUAUUUAUGAGUC